AGGGCUGCAGUAUAUUGACUGUACAAAGGUAGCAUAAUCAUUAGUCAUUUAAUUGAUGACUUGUAUGAAGGAUUGGAUGAGAUAUAAACUGUCUCUUAUUUAAUUAUAAAAUUUAAUUUUUUUAUUAAAAAGUUAAAAUAUUUUAAAAAGACGAGAAGACCCUAUAGAGUUUAAUAAAUAUUUAAGUUAAGAUUAUUUUGAGGUAUAAGCUUGAAAUUUAAUUAUUUAUUUUGUUGGGGUGAUAAAAAAAUAUGUAAAACUUUUUUUAAGAUAAAACAUUUAUAAGUGAUUAAAUGAUCCAAUAUUAUUGAUUAUAAGAAAAAAUUACCUUAGGGAUAACAGCGUAAUUUUUUUUUUUAGUUCAAAUAAGAAAAAGAGUUUGCGACCUCGAUGUUGGAUUAAGAUAAAAUUUAAA
rnacentral:rRNA from 1 species